UGGGGAAUAUUGGGCAAUGGGCGCAAGCCUGACCCAGCAACGCCGCGUGAAGGAAGAAGGCUUUCGGGUUGUAAACUUCUUUUCUCAGGGACGAAGAAAGUGACGGUACCUGAGGAAUAAGCCACGGCUAACUACGUGCCAGCAGCCGCGGUAAUACGUAGGUGGCAAGCGUUAUCCGGAUUUACUGGGUGUAAAGGGCGUGUAGGCGGGAGUGCAAGUCAGAUGUGAAAACCACGGGCUCAACCUGUGGCCUGCAUUUGAAACUGUACUUCUUGAGUACUGGAGAGGCAGACGGAAUUCCUA
rnacentral:rRNA from 1 species